rnacentral:misc_RNA from 1 species
AACCUUAUGGACCUGCGGGCGUAUACCUGCGGAGGGAUCAUUAACGAGUUCGAAAGUCGGUCGACCGUGCUGGCGGAGACGCAUGUGCACGUCGGUCGCGAACCCAUCCACACACCGUGAACGUAUGGCCCGGGAUCGCUUUGGUCUCGGGCACCAUUUUUCACACUCUGUUCGUAAAGGAAUGUCUACAAACAUAAACUAUACAACUUUCAACAACGGAUCUCAGAUCGGAAGAGCACA